UGCUGUUUCAACCCUGCCUAUAACUUUGGGUCAGAUUUGAGUUGACCAGCAGAUAUCUCCUCGGGAACAUCCCUUAAAGGAAUUGUGCAAGUAUUUUAAGCCCAGCAGCUUUGGACAACAGCACACUAAAUUAGAUGAAGUUUUAGAGGAAGGUUUGAGAAUUAAGAAGCCGUGAACAGCUCCCAUUUUGCCUACUGGUAGGAAGCACUGAGGGAUCCAACACUUAUACAGGGCUGAGGUGAACUACACCGAGGGACAUGCUGGUUGAUCUGAGGUGCUUCAGUUUCAGCUCUAGGAUGCCUGUUUCUCAGCACUUCGUUCUGUUUUCCCUAGCUCUUCUUUUUUUCUCCUAUCAUUUGCAUGUUUCCCUCUGCACACGCAGGGACCCACAGGUGCAGCCUGCGGCGGCUCAGCUGAUGCUUACUCCAUUUACAGAGAACUGAGCCUUUGUUUUUCCACUCGUCUGCUCUCACAGCGGAACAGAUCUCUAAAAUAAAGUAGGAUCUUAGAAAAAGCUGAAACAAAAGCU
ensembl:lncRNA